CUGGACCCCUCCCCGGCUCCCUCCGGCGCUGCCCCGGGCUCCCCUCACACGGACCCUCGAGGCUGUCCCCGACCCACCCUCACACCGCCCCCGGGGCUGCCCCGGGCUCCCCUCACACCGACCCUGGGGCUGCCCCGGGCUCUCCUCACACAGACCCUCGAGGCUGUCCCCGACCCACCCUCACACCGCCCUCGGGGCUGCCCCGGGCUCCCCUCACACCGAUCCCGGAGCUGUCCCCGACCCACCCUCACACCGACGCCGGGGCUUCCCCAGAGCAGCUUGGCGGUGCCAGGGCGAUGGUCCCUGCCCUCAGCGCCCCGGGGCUCCUGCCGGGGUGAGGAGGGAGGCAGGGGACGCCCAGGCGCUUCCCCCCCGGCGGUGGCCCUUGGUGGGCACUGGGGAACGGGAGCCGCCUGCCCGGCACCUGCCGUCGUGGGUGGCAGUGCCAGAGCGUGGCUCUCCUUCUCCUCCUCAGGAGCCCCCGGGACCCUCAGGGGGCUCGGCCAGCGCUGGGGUCCGGCGGAACAGCUGCCCUUGGCCCACCUUGACUUGCCCUAGCGCCAUGUGGGCUUUGCUGCCUGCAGCCCUGCCCGGAGGCAGAGCCACAGCAUCCAGCAGCUGAGAAGAGCAUAAUCCCUAGAAAUCCUUUAACAAAGCAAAUGGAAAAGCUUCUGUGUUUGAAAACAGCCCUGAGAAGAGCUGCAUUUUUGUCUUGGAGAGGCUGUUAUUUACAUGGAAAAAUAUUGUAUGUAUUGUGCAUGUUUCUAGUCUUCUUCCCACAGAAUCAUCCAAGGAAGUUCUUGCUCAACAACAUCCGUUCAAAUCACCACUUAACUGCACGAGUGUUCAUUCUGCAAACUUUUGGCUGCUUUGCUGUUUUGAUCCAAAAAAGUCAAAUGGCACUGGCACAUCUUCUGGCCUGUAUUAGAGAGUGUCCACUGCAGACCUGCCCAAGUGGGAUCAUGUGCAGCUCCAAGGGGUGGAGAGUCUGCACGUUGGACUUGCUCGUCCUCGUGCCUGAUUGUUGAAACUGCUGGGGAGCUGCUGCCUGUGGCACAGCACUGAGGCAGGAUGUUGAUCCACAUCUGUUCCCAGCUCAACGCUGCCUGGCACCGUCAGAGUGUCAAUGUUUUGCUUAACAGAUAAAUGCAAACCUCGGGAAAGCUGUAUCAGCUGUCACACUGAGAUGUUGUGGUGCAGCAAUGUCAGAGCGUCACAACAGCUCCUAAAGUUCCGAUUUGGUCUCUCCUGGAGAAAAUUGGUAUUUCAUGGAUCUCGAGGCCCUCACUGACUGUUUGCCUCAGAAUCCAGUUUGAAAUCGUACUCCUUGUUUUUCAAACCACACCCUCGCUCCUUGGACUUCUUUCCAGCUUGUCUCCUAGAGACGUGGAGCCCUCCCCUUUCCUCCCCUCUGUCUCUUCUCUCCUUCCAACAGGCUCCUCACUGCUGAGUCAAGAACUGUCUCCUCUCACCGUCUCCCAUCCAGAGCUGACUCCUUGUGCGUGUCCUGCAGUCAUUCUCCAUUUCAGUGCAAAGUUCCAUUCAAAUAAUGCUCUUUUCUCCUGGAAUUCAAUUCUUCUUUUCCAUCUGUUCUUACUGAAUGCAUAACUCUGGGUCAUACAAAGCACUCUGAGGCUCUGGAUGAGUUUCUUCUGUGGUUUGUGUAAGUCAUUGCGCAAGCUCCUGAGACCCAGCUGGUAAAAAUGGUAAUGUUUUUUAAGAAAUUAUUUGAAAUGUAAAGAUUCUGUUGCAGAGUUGUUUAAUAUGUAAUUGUUUAAUGUUUGAAUUCCCUCUAGUUCAUUCUUUGAAAGAAGAAUGGCAUUGCACAUGCUUAGAAUUUAAAGGCAAUCCCCUGUUAUGGUGGAUUUAACUCCUGACAUGUUCUUGAUAAAGGUCACUUUAUGAAUUUAGUUCAGUAUGUGAAGCCCCAUCCUGUAGUCCCUGUACAUGAAAGCUCUGCUGGAGAUUAUAAUCCCCAUCAUCUCCAUCAGCAGAUUCUGAUGGCAUUUAAUGUCAAAAUGAACAGAAGUGUCUAGAGGCAGUAGCAGUGCAGGCUGGAGGUCUUGAGGUUCCCCACAGAGAAUGCCACGAUGAUACAUAAUUUACUUGUAGCUUGCAAACAAUGUGCCUGUCUUGCCUCCCAGAAGCAUUUCCAUUGGAAGGAGCCAUUUCUGUCCACGAGCAGUACACGGACAUCGAUGCUCUCUGUGCAUUCCUAGAGCUGUUUGCUCCUUCCCUGGACACUGGUGUUCUCCAGGCUUUGCAGCACAGGUGUUGAAUCCCUUACAUGGCAGUUUCUCAGCUGAAAUUGCAGCUCCUCCAACCAGCCUUGUAAAAACAGAGAUCUACUGGUGAGUGACGCAAAGCCGGAUAAAGGGCACGGGAGUCAACGUGUGCCUUCAGAAUCCUGACAGAUGGAUCAGGGCUGUGUGCUGCAACAACCCUUGGAGAAGCUGAAUUCCUCCAGGGUGUUUCCUUUGGCAGCUCAUUCAUCAAGCGGAUAGAGGGUGAAUGUGUUCUUUGAAAACAUAACCAGUGGCAAGGGAUGAGGUAGCUGAUAUAAAUCCAGGGUGCAUCUCUCACUAAUUUCACCAGGUCUGGAAUGACAGAAACCAAGCUACGCUUCUAAAUAGACCAAGUGAAAUCUUAGCCUAGAUGGUGGAGUGGUUGAACACCGCUUAGGAGCAUAACUAGUCAGUGUGCACAAGUAGGGCACGAGAAAGGGCUGGGAAGGACCUGGAGGGGUCUGCUGGUUGUCACCUCUGUCCUACAGCAAGGCUGAAUGUGCCAAUUGCAGAUUAACGGGGUGAUUUGGGAAAUGCUGAAUAUAUUGACUGUUAGGGCCUUUUAGCUAUUUCCUUUGAAAUAGACCCUUGACAGGGAAAACCUCAGUGUUCGUUUUCUUAACAUUAUUACAUUAUCCAGGAAAGAGAAUGAAGCCAAGAAAAGCAGAAACCCUGUUACAUUUUCGAGUAUAGUGGUAAACUAUGCAGAUUGUAAACAGACUUUUUAUUUUCUAUAGGGCAUUUAAAAUAUAUUUUCCCUUCUCUUAAUCCUGGCAAGAAGCACUCUCUAAACUCAUAAGCUAUGAAUUCCCCCAUCUCCAGAAGGAAACAACUCUUUAUGACUGUUCUUGUUUGCCUUGCUUCCUUUUCCCCACCACAGUAAGUUUUGAGACCAGUGGCCAAAUUCAGCCAUGUGUAAUGGAGAGGAAUAAGCUCAAAGAAACUGUAUUCCAGCAACUUUCAUGAAAACAGGCAGCCAGAGAGUGGAGAGACUUUUAUUUAGAAGGAAUGGCUGAAGUGGGAGUUCAGCCCUUACUGGAAAAUCUAUGAAGUCAGUGCAAACUGUGGGGGAAAAAAAAGUCUUUGACCAAGGUCUGCACCUUCUUGAAUUAGUUUUAUUGUUCGUGAAAUAUUUUUGUUCCAUUCCUUUAUUCCCAAAUUCCUACUUUUGUAUGAAUCUGUACCUUUGCCUGCAUUAACUUUAAAGAUAGGUUCAGAAAUGCUGUCCUGAAAACACCAUUAUUUCCUGAACUGUGUUCUCCCCUUCAAAACCAGGUUUUUGUUAGACCAUGUAAUGCUGUUCUAUGUAACACAAAGGCCCUGUUUUUUUAUUAUCAGCUUGUAGGAUUUCAGGAAGCUGAAGAUAAAAGUGACCCUAAUUUUCGUAUUCACUCUUGGCUUUCUCUGUCUUGAACUGUUUGUGGAACAGGUUUAAUGGACGUUCUCUGCAUUUCUUGGUUCUUAAUGACAUACACAGCCUGAAUGUAACAGACUGGCUUUUCCUGAACUUCAGUCUUAACUAGAAUUUUCAAGACACAAACACAACACAAAGAUGUUUCCCAAAGAGGUUUAACAAUCACACGUUUGCUGCCUUUUAGAUUUUUGACAACACAAGCAAGAUGGCUGAGCUGGAAUAAAAUGGAGGCAAGCACAGGCUUACAUGCUCAAAGUCCUCAUAAUGAAGUGACUAAGGUACCUUAAAAAAAAUUCCUACUAAGUGCUGGCAGAAGCAAUCCAUAAACACUUUGCUACCCUGUCACUAGAAUGGAUUUAGAUGACACAAGAUGAAGACAGCCAUGCCCCUUUAUGCCAGAGCUUUCAGUGUAAGUGAUGCUACUUAGGUGAAGGGUGUUGAAUAAAGGGAGAAAACCUCCCGUGCAGAGGCCUUAACAAGCACCAGAGGGAAUUUACAAUCCUCUC